rnacentral:rRNA from 1 species
AUGUCCGGAGCAGGAGGCAAGUGGGUGGCUUCCACCAUCAAGGAGAAGCACAUCACUAAUCUUCGGGCGGCCGGAUACUUGGCCGCGGACAUAGCGCACCGGCUACCGGACGCUGGGCAUGUCAUUCCGACCCCAGGACCCCACGAGAGGGUCGUAUUCGUCGCCCACUUCGUCCGUGGACUGGGAUUUCCAUUCCAUCCCUUCUUCCGCGGGCUCAUGUUUUACUACGGGCUAGAUUUCCAUGAUCUAGCCCCGAACUUCGUCCUUAACAUCUCGGCGUUCAUCGUCGUAUGCGAGGCCUUCCUCCGCAUCCGACCUCACUUCGGCCUAUGGUAA